CCAAUAGCGUAUAUUAAAGUUGUUGCAGUUAAAAAGCUCGUAGUUGAAUUUCGGGACCAAUUUGUUGGUCGUGCCUCGGUACGUACUAGUAUUAUUGGUUUCUCCCUUCUGAAGAACCUCGAUGUCAUUAAUUUGGUGUCGUGGGGAAUCAGGACUGUUACUUUGAAAAAAUUAGAGUGUUUAAAGCAGGCAUACGCUUGAAUACAUUAGCAUGGAAUAAUGAAAUAGGACGUUUGAUUCUAUUUUGUUGGUUUCUAGGAUCGACGUAAUGAUUAAUAGGGAUAGUUGGGGGCAUUAGUAUUCAAUUGUCAGAGGUGAGAUUCUUGGAUUUAUUGAAGACUAACUACUGCGAAAGCAUUUGCCAAGGAUGUUUUCAUUAAUCAAGAACGAAAGUUAGGGGAUCGAAGACGAUCAGAUACCGUCGUAGUCUUAACCAUAAACUAUGCCGACUAGGGAUCGGAUGAUGUUAAUUUUUUAAUGACUCAUUCGGCGCCUUACG
rnacentral:rRNA from 1 species